rnacentral:lncRNA from 1 species
GUCCACUGACAUUUCACUAUAUUGUUUCUCUACGGAGCAAAUGGCUUGUGUACUUCCGUGCACAUGUUUUGUCCUAAUAUUAUAUUUUUUCUCACCCCUUUGAAUUUAUGAUGCCCUAAAUAUGGAAUCAAAUUCUUCUCAGCCUCUAGAACUUAGAGAGUCCCCUGUAGGGGGUGCAUGUAUUGUCAUGAGAAACCAGGUUAUCUUCUUAUAUGGACCAUUGUUCUAAUUAUACGACUCUUGAAUUUUCUUGGCAGUUACUGCCUCUCUGGGUCUAAGUCUUAAUUCAUUACAAGGAAUUGAAUUUCUUCUCAAUUUGGAGAUCUCACUUGUUGUUGCCAUCUGUUAUGGCCUGAACUGUGUCCUCCCCAACCCACCAAAUUCAUAUGUUGAAGCUCUAACCCCCAGUGCCUCAAAAUGUGAUUAUAUUUGGAGAUAUGGCUUUAAAGAGGUGAUUAAAUUAAAACGAGGCCAUUAGGUUGGACUGUCUUAAUCUGUUUUGACUGCUGAAACAAAAAUAUUAUAAACUGGGUGGCUUAUAAACAACAGGAAUUUAUGUUUCACAAUUCUGGAGACUAGGAGGUCCAACAUCAAGUUGCAGGUAGAUUCUACGUCUGGUGACAGCUGCUUCCUGAUUCAUGAACGGAUACCUUUUCAUUGUGUCCCCACAUGGUGGAAGGGAGUUGGGUGUGUUUUUGUUUGUUUGUUUGUUUGUUUUUUUGAGAUAGAAUUUCGCUCUUGUCACCCAGGCUGGAGUGUAGUGGCGUGAUCUCGGCUCACUGCAACCUCUGCCUCCCGGAUUCAAGUGGUUCUCCUGCCUCAGCCUCCCCAGUAGCUGGGAUUACAGGUGCCUGCCACCACGCCCAUCUAAUUUUUGUAUUUUUAGUAGAGAUGGGGUUUCAUCAUGUAGGCCAGGGUGGUCUCGAACUCCUGACCUCAAGUGAUCCGCCCACCUCGGCAUCUCAAAGUGCUGGGAUUACAGGUGUGAGCCACUGUGCCCGGCAGGAAGGGAACCUUUUUUCAGAGCACUAAUCACAUCCAAAAGGGCUUGCCCAUUAUCAUACCAACGGGUUAGGAUUUCAACAUACAAAUUUUGGAGUACAUACACAUUCAGUUGACUGCAAACCCCUCUCAGAUGUUCAAAAGGUGAUGCUGCUUUGCUCUUUUGAAUAAUGUAUAUCUGAUCGCCUCCUUUGGAAAGGCUGAUCAGAAACUCAAAAGAAUGCAACCAUUUUUCUCUUACCUUCCUAUGACCUGGAAGCCCCUCCCCACUUUGAAUUGUCCCUCCUUUCUGGAUGGAACAAAUGUAUAUCUUACAUAUAUUGAUUGAGGUCUCAUGUAUCCGUAAAAUAAAUAAAACCAAGCUGUUUCCCAACCAUGUUGGGCACAUGUUGUCAGGACCUCCUGAGGUUGUGUCACAGGUGCACAUCCUUAAAUUUGGCAAAAUAAAC